rnacentral:rRNA from 1 species
UAGAGGAAGUAAAAGUCGUAACAAGGUUUCCGUAGGUGAACCUGCGGAAGGAUCAUUACAGAGAACAUGCCCUUCAGGGUAUAUCUCCCACCCUUUGUUUACAAUACCUUUGUUGCUUUGGUGGGCCUGUCUCUGGACUGCUGGCUUCAGCUGGCCUGUGCCCGCCAGAGAACCCCAACAUCCUUGUAUUAUGCUGUCUGAGUACUAUAUAAUAGUUAAAACUUUCAACAACGGAUCUCUUGGUUCUGGCAUCGAUGAAGAACGCAGCGAAAUGCGAUAAGUAAUGUGAAUUGCAGAAUUCAGUGAAUCAUCGAAUCUUUGAACGCACAUUGCACCCCCUGGUAUUCCAGGGGGUAUGCCUGUUCGAGCGUCAUUGCAACCCUCAAGCACUGCUUGGUAUUGGAUGUCACUAUUGUUGUGCAUCUCAAAGUUAUUGGUGGCAGCAUUCUGCUUCUGGUGUAGUAAUUUUCUCGCCAUGGAGUCUGAUGUCUGACUGCCAGAACCCCCUUAUGUAUUAAGGUUGACCUCGGAUCAGGUAGGGAUACCCGCUGAACUUAAGCAUAUCAAUAAGCGGAGG